GACAGCGGGGAAAGGUGUCAGAUAAAGGAGGGCUCUCCUUCGGUUUGGAGGCAUCAUGGCUGCUAAGUCAGACGGGAGGCUGAAAAUGAAGAAGAGCAGCGACGUGGCGUUCACCCCGCUGCAGAACUCGGACCACUCGGGCUCGGUGCAAGGAUUGGCUCCGGGUUUGCCGUCGGGGUCGGGAGCCGAGGAUGAGGAGGCGGCCGGGGGCGGCUGCUGCCCGGACGGCGGCGGCUGCUCGCGCUGCUGCUGCUGCUGCGCCGGGAGCGGCGGCUCGGGCGGCGGCUCCGGGGUCUUGGGCGGCCCGGGCGGCGGCGUUGGCGGCCCGGGCGGCCCCGGGGCGGGCUCCGCGGCGCUGUGCCUGCGCCUGGGCAGGGAGCAGCGGCGCUACUCUCUGUGGGACUGCCUCUGGAUCCUGGCCGCCGUGGCCGUGUACUUCGCGGACGUGGGCACGGACAUCUGGCUCGCCGUGGACUACUACUUGCGCGGCCAGCGCUGGUGGUUCGGACUCACGCUCUUCUUCGUGGUGCUCGGCUCGCUCUCGGUGCAAGUGUUCAGCUUCCGCUGGUUUGUGCACGAUUUCAGCACCGAGGACAGCGCCACGACCUCAGCCGCCUCCAGCUGCCCGCAGCCUGGAGCCGAUUGCAAGACGGUGGCCAGCAGUGGGUCUGCAGCCGCUGAAGGCGAGGCUCGUCCUUCCACGCCGCAAAGGCAAGCAUCCAACGCCAGUAAGAGCAACAUCGUCGCCACCAACAGCGGCAGCAACAGUAGCGGGGCCACCCGGGCCAGCGGCAAACAUAGGUCUGCGUCCUGCUCCUUCUGCAUCUGGCUCCUGCAGUCACUCAUCCACAUCUUGCAGCUCGGGCAAAUCUGGAGAUAUUUCCACACAAUAUACUUAGGUAUUCGAAGUCGACAGAGUGGGGAGAAUGACAGAUGGAGGUUUUACUGGAAAAUGGUGUAUGAGUAUGCAGAUGUGAGUAUGCUGCAUUUGCUAGCCACCUUUCUGGAAAGUGCUCCACAGCUGGUCCUGCAGCUCUGCAUUAUCGUACAGACUCAUAGCUUACAGGCCCUCCAAGGUUUCACAGCGGCAGCCUCCCUCGUGUCUUUGGCUUGGGCCUUGGCCUCCUACCAGAAGGCCCUCCGGGACUCUCGAGAUGACAAGAAGCCCAUCAGCUACAUGGCCGUUGUCAUCCAGUUCUGCUGGCACUUCUUUACCAUUGCCGCCAGAGUCAUCACCUUCGCCCUCUUUGCCUCAGUUUUCCAGCUGUACUUUGGGAUCUUCAUCGUCCUCCACUGGUGCAUCAUGACCUUCUGGAUCGUCCACUGUGAGACAGAAUUCUGCAUCACCAAAUGGGAAGAGAUUGUGUUCGACAUGGUGGUGGGGAUCAUCUACAUCUUCAGCUGGUUCAACGUCAAGGAAGGCAGGACACGCUGCAGGCUCUUCGUUUACUAUUUUGUGAUCCUGUUGGAAAAUACAGCCUUGAGUGCCCUCUGGUACCUCUACAAGGCUCCCCAGAUUGCAGAUGCGUUUGCCAUCCCAGCGCUGUGUGUGGUGUUCAGCAGCUUUUUAACUGGUGUCGUUUUUAUGCUGAUGUAUUAUGCCUUCUUUCACCCCAACGGACCCCGAUUUGGGCAGUCACCAAGUUGUGCUUGUGAGGACCCAGUCGCUGCCUUCACUCUGCCUCCAGAAAUGGCCACAAGCACGCUCCGGUCCAUCUCCAACAACCGCAGUGUCGCCAGCGACCGCGACCAGAAAUUCGCUGAGCGCGAUGGGUGCGUACCUGUCUUUCAGGUGAGGCCCACUGCCCCGUCCACCCCAUCCUCUCGCCCACCACGGAUUGAAGAAUCUGUCAUUAAAAUUGAUCUGUUCAGGAAUAGGUACCCAGCGUGGGAGAGACAUGUUUUGGACCGAAGCCUGCGAAAGGCCAUUUUAGCCUUUGAAUGUUCCCCGUCUCCUCCAAGGCUGCAGUACAAAGAUGAUGCCCUUAUUCAGGAGCGGUUAGAGUAUGAAACCACUUUAUAAAAUAGAAGGCCUCGGAGGAGCCACAACCUCCAGGUGAAGGGGUGACAACAGGGCCGUGGCAAUAAUGAAACUCUGUCCUAGAGCAGGGCAACGGGCUGUAACGCGCUUCGUCUGACCCUCCAUCAGCUGACUGCCUGCUGCUGGUCUCCUUUCAGAACAGCGGCUGAAGGGAACGAACCGAACCAUGCCAGCUCAGGAGGACUCCUUGUUGCUACCAGCCCCUCCUGCCCACUUUCAGCAUGUCCACCAGAGGGUCCUAUGAGCACGGAAAAGGUUGCCUCCAAUCAAUAGGGCGUUUUGAUGGAGUUAACUGAUCUUUGCAUAAAAAUAUAUUCAGUCAUGUGCGCGCGCAUGCGCGCGUGCACACACACAGCACCAGUCCUCUGUCAAAAUAGCUUAGGUGAUUUUUUUUCUCAAUGCAAAGCUCUGAUUCUGAAUAUAAAAACAAAGAGAGAGAGAAUAUAUCCCUCAAGACUCUAGAAAAAAAAAAUAGUACUGACUUAGGAAAGCAUUUCAUAGACCAUUCUCCUUUGGAAACCACUACCAUGCGUGCAAAUCCUAUCCCAUGGACAGCAAACUCAACUGUUGUUUACAUGUGUAUUUGAAUGGAUGGAAUGGUUCAUUUUCAACACAUUUCAGGUUUUUUUUAUUUUAAAUUUUCAGUUGAGAACAUCCUUUCCGACAGAAAUCCUAUGCAGCACAUGUAUGGCUUUCGACAACACCAAGGAGCUCGACGAUUUCGUGACGUAAAUUAAAUGAUAAUCAUGAUUCAGUAUUCAGUUGCAAAAAUUUAAUAAGUACAUGAAGAGGAAGUGGGGAAACAAGGCAAAAACGAGCAUCUGAUUUCCCGGCCUGCCGCAGCUCACACAGGUAGGGAGGUACAGAGCAGCAGGAGAGGAACGUGCUGAACUGGAUGUUUCAAGAUGCAGAAGAGUGUGGCUCUGUGUGAGGACUCCAGAGCACACCACACCACACUUUCGUAGUGCCAAACACCGUCCAACCACAGGACUGACGUGGAAGUCCCAAACACCCGAGAACCAGUGGUGUGAGCCCCCCAAAUGUGGACGUGAGAGUGCACCAUCAAGCUCCCCACUGUGUACAGACUCCCCCCCUCCCCCCAAUCCAAGCUCAAAGUGAUGUGUCUUUUAGAGGCUUUGGGACACUUUUUAUUCUUCCUGAGAUUUCAUUUUCAAUCUGCCAUGAAACCCUCCACAGACAGUAACCGGAGAAUCCAAAAAGAACACGCUAUGGUUAGCAUGCAGAUUGGAAAUGCUGGAUUCUUCUUCUGUGAGACCCAACUUCCUGUGUCUGAGUCUACUUGAAUUCUCUGCGGGGAGAGGGGUCCUGCUCUUAGCACUCACUUUUUUCCAUAGGACCAUAAAGUUUUCUAAGAGAAAAUGUUAAGCAUUUUUUUCACUCUCAAAUUAGCAUUUUAAAAUGAAACUGUAUUUAAGAUUAAAGAACAUACAUAUCUUAACCAUACUGAGAUUUUUAAGUAUUUGUGUGGAGGGAAAAAAAAUUUUUUCCACGUUAAGUCAAAGUUUGGUUCCCCCAUAAUGACUAUGUCCUUUAAAUUCUCUUGGCCGUUAACAUUGACCUACUUAACUAUGUGCUGUCUCGUUCAUAACACUGACUUUGCAGACACUCAGUUACUAUCCACUCAUGAUAAUGCUGUGAACCCAACAAAGGAAAUAAAUUCUCUUACUUACUUGGCAAGAACAUGCAAUUCGAGUAUUACCACAAUACAAAAUACAAAGAUAACCCGAAGAUAAAAGUAUAAUGACAUAUGUAUGCUUAAUUCCCAAAUGCCCAAUUUAUUUUGCUCUAGGAGUAAAUGAAGCGAUAGCACUGACCAAUGAAAAGUGAAUGGGGAUCACUGAAAUCUCAAUGACUGUUUUUUAAGGUAUCAUAACAUGUAUAUAUGUUAUAUAUGUAUAUAUAUAACACACAUGUAUGUUUUACAUACACACACACACACACACACACACACAACUAAAGGAACAGAGAUGGAAAAGAUGAAGUAUAUACUGCCCUUUCAUGCAUAUCACCUGGUGUGUUACCGACACAUGAACUUUUAGUGGAAAAGCGUUUUCCUCUUCUUUUUCAGCCCAAGCUUACAGUCCCUGUCUAUAAGACAUCCACAUACUUGUAAUGUGGGAAAUACCUAGAUGCAACUUAGCGCUUUGAGCUUAAAUAAGUUGUAUCACUCAGAAAAGGUUUCAUCUUUUAAGCAGCUGAAUAGUGUUUUGAAUCAUUUCAAAGUUUCUUUCUCCCAUCUGGUUGAAUUGAGAAAAGAAAAACUCUCAUGUCCUUACCAGGAUUGUGUAAGGCUACACAUUUGCCUUUAAAUGUACCAAAUGCCAUUGAGUGGAACAAGUUCUCCCACAAUGUUUAGACAAGGAUCCAUUUUUUUUCUAAUGAACCAUUUUCUAAACUAAAUAUAUGCUCCCCUGCUUUCACAUACAUCUUUGCCAUUAGCCAUUACUGUUUCUAUAUAAAGCUUGGAUGAGAUGCCUGCAUUUUUAUGUUUCUAAGGAGAAUUCCUUAAAGUCUUUUUAAAAAUAGCUCAGACUGUCUUUCAGAAAUAUAGCUCAGAGGAUGCUUGAAGUGCAUGGUGAAAACACAGCCGAUCUGAGGUGGUUGUUUCUAUAAAUUCAGUGAUGGAUGCAGAUCAACUCAUGUUCAUUUAUCUUCAACAGUCCAGUGUCACUUUUGAAAACAAUCAAAAUGAUUGCUUCUGCCAGCUUGUGACUCAUAACACCCUUCUUCCCCUUCUGAAGCCGGGGCAUUUCAACAUGGCUGAGGAAGGGCCAUUUCCCUCUACCGCCCACUCACCCCCCACACCCUACCUCCGUUUUCAAGUCUCUGGCCCUAACCUGUGUCAGGCUGUGAAGUGAUCUCAGCAGUUGGGUUGCAGCUCCCCUGCUCACUCAGGCAGGCUGCACUGUCCACUGCAGUAUGCGGUCCAGUUGCUAUCCUAGAAAUGGGCACACAGAAAGACUCAAUCUGUGCCUGUGAUCAAUAGUCUCAACAGUAGGAUUACUCAUUCAAGAGUAAAACUGCGGAAUGUGGGUGGAAUUGUAUAAAAACACCAUGAGCCAUUUAAUUUUGUUAAUUGUAGCAAUUAGGCUAGCUCGAACACAGCCUGCGCUCACAGCAGAAAGCCAAGUGGAAGAAAUGGCAAACAGCCAUUUGCCCACAGAAAUAAGGGGUUCAGAAACUUUCCCUUGAGUGUUUAAGGCAUCAUGGUGUUUGAUCAUCCAUCUGAAGCUCUUUCUCUAGAUUCCAUAAGAAAAGAAAUCAGACUCUUGUUGUACUGCAUGCAGUGAUCUAAUCCCGAAACGUAAAACUCGAGUCAACCUUUUGUGGGGCUAUGCUCUGCUCAAUAAGGGAUGGUUUCAUGUCCCUGAAAUGCCUAAGUUGUUUUGCUAAAAUAUUUUACUCAUAAAUAGUAUGCUGACAUAAUAUGUCAGAAAUACUGGCAAACUCAAAUUUUUGCUUUGGUUAUUUUUUUACCCUUAGAUUUUCUUGCAGUUCAGUUCCCCAUAUUGAUGGUGACUUACCAUGACUAGGAAUGUAUCAUGUGCCCAGUGCUGGGCUACAGAGCUUUACCUGUGUGAUCUCACUGAAUCCUCACAACCAUCUAUGAGUUAAGUACCAUUUACAGAUGACAAAACCUAAUCUCAGAGAUACCAAACAAAUUGCCAGAGGUUCCACACCUAGGAAACAGUGGCACUGAGAAUUGAACACAACUUGUAACAACUUUUAACAACUGCAAACUUUUCUAGAAGACCAAGGAAUAUUUUCCCACCGACAUCUAUUUCUGAUUUGGCAAGCUUUCAGGAGAAACAAAAUCCUGGUCUGAUAAUGAAAUUUUCCAAAGCAAGUUUCAUUUAAAGUCAAAGAUGUCUUCCAAGAUGAAAAGUUAAAAAUAAAAGUCAAUAAUGAGAAAUGGAAAUUGCUAUCACCUGUAACUGAAUUUUAUUUCCAUUCCCUAAUUCAUAGUCAGUAGAUAUCUGCUAUUCUUCCAUUCUGGACAACUGGCCUCCUCCAUGGCCCUACUCUACACUAAAGUAGGAGAUAAAUAUAAAUUAACUAGAUGGUUCUCCUCUUGUAUUCUGUGCAUGUGCUAUACUGUCAUCCAGCUAGGCACACUGAAAAAUAACUAAAUUCCAGUACUUACUUUGACACUCUGAUGGAGAAAGAGACAGAGAAAGAGAGAAAGAAAGGAAGGGAGACAGGAGGGUGAAAAGAUAGAUCAACAAACAUUUAAAGUGACAUUAUUCUAUCCCAUUGCCAUGAUUUUUCUCUAAAUUUUAUGUCUUGCAGUUCACAAAAUUUAAUAUUCAAGAGGAUUACUAUACCAUUAGCUUGACCCAUCAUAUAAACUGAGGAAUCUUACCUUAAAUUGAAAGGUUAGAUGUAAAGAAUAAAGCAAACAUUUACAAACUAUUUGUUGAAUUGAUUAUAAAAUGAUUGAUCUGUCCUUUCCCUCCUCACUUUUGGUGUGACAAGUCUGAGUUCUACAGGAUUAUAGUCAAAACCUGUUCAAUGACAUUGUAUAGUAAGUUGUGUGUGAUGUUGCUGGAAUUGAUUCUAAACAAAUAGCCAGGAAUAAACCCCACAUUUUCUCAACCUUAGUAUUUAUUUUAGAAAAAUAUGCAGUGACCACUCUGACUUUAGUGUAUGAAAAAUACAAGCAAUCUUCUCUCUUACUGCUUUGAUAAGAUUCAAGCAGAUCUUGAUGAAGAUAUGUUAAAUUAGAAGUCACUAAUUUUUAUAGAAAGUAGCAUCUGAAAGAGAUCUAAGUGUUACUUCAGCACAUUCCUUUUAUAGAUGAGACAACCAAGAUCCAAAGAGAUCAGGUAAUUUUUGCAAUCAGGAUUCCUUCAGUCAUCUGUUCAGUCAGCAUCAUCCACAGGAUGAGCAUUGCCAGGCAAUACACAGCGAGUGUAGAAGGAGUCUUGCGAUCCAGUCGCUUACACUUUGGUUAUCAGUAGUAGAAUAGGUGUCUUUGGACUUCAACUCUUUUUUGCUCUGCUACACAGCUCCUAUCUUUAAUAUCUACAUUUAAUUCCAUACUAGAGCAAAACCAUAGCUUUCCCAAUAUUGUAUUAUGGAAGCCUCAUAACAGACAAAUGCCACACUCAAUGACAAGCAUAAGAUAGUGAUGUCCAUAUAAAGAUAAGUCAAUAAUGGUUGACUGUCUAUAAAGAGAAAAGUAAUUUUUGAUUUGUUUUUAUGCCUCUUCAACACUAGACAUUUUUAAAUCGAGGUUCCAAAGCAACAAAGAGAAAUUGAAAUACUUUUUAGGCACAUAACACUUGACUCAAAACAAUCAUAUCUGAAUAACUUUUGGAGAUAAUCCUGAGAACCCCUUUUAAGAAGAGGCAUGAAACGAGGAUGCCUCUAAAAUGUCUGAAGACUUUUCUAAUAGGCUACUUCUCUGAUCUUCAGGAAAUAUCCUUCAUUAGCACAUCCCCUAGAUCUCCAGCAUAGUAGUUAUUUAGGAAUAACACAUUUCCAGACCUAACCCUCGGUUACUACAACCUGAGAGGUUGGUCUAAAGCCAUACUUCCCGUGCCCAGAAGAGCAACACUGUGCUGUAUUACAUUCGGGAAUCCAGACAGCCAGGCUCAUCUCACUCACUAUGCUGGCAUAAUACACAAACUGAGUCUCUCCCUGCAAUAUGGGCACGUGGUUGGCUCCCCACAGAUAUAAGGAGUAUAUUACUUAAAGGUAACUAUUAACUUGCAUAACUAAUUUGCUCCAAGUGAAAUAAUUCUGAUCAGGGAAUGCAUAAACCCAAAGGUUCUCUAAGGAGUAAAAGGAAAGAGAAAAAAAAAACAGAUUAAUUUGUAUAAGCACAUAAUAAUUCAAAGAAUUCCUUGGUGAGUCCCAUUAAGCAUCAAUAUAAUAGUUGACCUAAUAACGGUGGGAAGUGUGAGGCAUGGUUUCUAGGUUCAAGCCCCUAUAAGUAGUUCAUUACUGUGAUUACUGCUGUUUUAGCUGUUGCACCAGCCAAGAAGAGUAUAGUUGCUGAUUUGAUGUUUGCAGAGCAAAGAUCAUGAUAAUAAAACAGAUCAACAUCAAAACUAAUUAAUCAACUUGAUAAGCAAAUAUUACCAGCCCAGACCAACACAAAAUGUUCUCUUGUGUUCUUAUUAAAGCCUGUCACCUAACUCUGUUAUUAGAAUUUCAGAAAAUGUAAGGUUUCAUGUUUUUAUUAUACUUCCAUCUAUCAAAUUAAGCUGGUGGCCCUCUCCUCUCUCUAUUGCUUGAUUUGCAUUAAAAUGGAACUAAUCAAAUUCUUAUUUCAUUUAAGUGCUACAAAUAUUAACAAAUGGAGAUGUUGUGUUUGAGCUAAUUUAAUUUAACUGUUCUAGUGGCAUUCUGGUAUGGAGUUGUAUCACAUCAACACUCUUAAUUAUUUCGAAUUAAUUCAUUUAUCAGUAAGUUCUACAACACCCCUAAGCACGUUGAAAAUAUAGUUUAGGUUUCUAUCCUUGUACGAAAUUCCUAUUUUGAUUACAGACCAGUAGAAUAUGUUUUAAUCAACAUCAGCAUUUCAAUCCAUUGUGAUUCUGGAAAAUGAGUAUGUCAGGUACUGCUGUGUUAACUUAGCAAUUAACCUUCGGCCAGGUCUUUCUAUAGGCCCCACUGUGAGUUCUUAUUCAUUCAAAUUGGGAGCAAUAGCACAUCAUCCUGUAACCAAAGGAGAUCUAGUCAAAGAAUUGUCAUUUUAUAUCCUUCUUUCAAAGAACUAAAUAUUCAACUUUCCUUACUAACCUUUCUAAUGUAUUGCACAUAGAAAAGGAAAUGGAUCACUGAAAUAUGUUCUGAAACCCUGGGGUGAAACCUUUCUCUUGAUCUGAAUCUGAGGCUUGGUGCCCUGUGAAGAGGAAUAAAUCUCUCAUGCCAUGAGGAAAGGGAAAGGGAACGAGCCAAUCACUCAGAAAUGUGGGCCUCGACUGCCACAAAGAUGUAUAUUGCUGAUGGUAUUGAUUCCCUUCUUUUUUUACAGAAACAUCUUGGAACUUGUCAAGCUUUACUGAAGGUGAUUUGCAUUAAUUAAUGCAACAGACCCUUUAAUCUUGCAAAUUCUUGACUUGUAAUAUUGUAGCCAAGCUACUGCAAGGGAAAAUUAAUCAGUUAGUGGGAAGGAGUACUUGUUCCAUCAUUGCCGAGCUGUGCCCAGGCCUGAAGAGAAAGACCUCUGUGAAGUAGAGCACUAAUGAAUUCAUGCUACCUGCUUCCUCAUCAUUCAUGCUAUGAAUACUCAUCCACUUCAUUUGUUUUUGCCAGUAAGCGCUGCUUUGAAAAAAAAAAAAGAAAAGAAAAAUGUCGAUGGAUUCUUGGGGCUUGCAUAGCUCAGAGAAUAGGUACCGGGUCAUGGUGACUCCUGUUAAAUGGAUACAAAUCUACUUGUGUUUGGAAAUGAAAAAAAAAAAUGUCAUUGUCAUCUCUUUAAUGAUCGAUCUGUCUGAGUACCAUGGCUGCCCUCACUUGGUUUCUUGAGAGUACUGUUGUCAGCAUUGUAAUAACAAAUUUACGAAAAUUGAAUCUGUAAUUCCAUUUCAGAGGUAAAGUCUGCAUGGAUGUAACCAUUCAAUAAUUUCAUUCCUGCCUUCUUGGGUGGUGACAUUGUCAGUUUCAAACUGAGGUACAUGAGUUUAUGGUAUUGGCCUUCUGUUGUUUCUGAGAUCCAACAAAAUGUCAGUUACAAGCUAUGAGAUCAAGUAGAGAUUCUUAUUGCCUAAAUGCUCACUUAAAAGUAAACAAGUAGUCUCAUAAUUUAAAAAACUCAUGGUUCUUUCCCACUUGCUUCUGUUUUCCAAGAAAGGUUUGAGCUGCAAGAUAAGAAUGAAUAUACUUCAGAUUGUAGUCUCAGAGUUUGCAAGUGUCAGACAUCCAUAUGUUCUUAUAAAGUUUCUGUCUAAACUUUUAGUAGAACAAUGUCAGGAGUGAACCCUAGAUGAAUGAGUGAAAGUCAUCAGGUUUAUCCAAUAAGCAACCUAGCAGAAAAAUUUUAGAAAAGAAGCAGGGAUCCUUUUUCUUGGGUUUUAAAGAUGUUUCUCCUUGCUAAGUGACCAUCUUAGUGAUUUGAGAGUUACUGAAUGGUAGUCCCAGUUAGAGGCAUCAGUAUCGUGCUGCAUACCCUACUCUGUCAAAGUCAUUUUUCAGAACUAACACUUGGCACAAGCACUGAAAUUUAAUGGCCAAAACUGGCCUACUACCAUGUGACUUAUUUUCAAUUGCAAGGCAAUGAAAACUAAUAAGCUGAAGAAAAUUUUAAUUUCCUGAACUCCAAAGCCAAAAUGGACACAAAGAGACUCUGUAACAUACAAUGAGUUGGUUGACUGUGGGGACCCAGGAACAAUAAACAAUCCUCUUAAGCAAGGCUCAUGAGUGAGAGUGCUAUAAGCUAUGUUGGGACAGAAGGUGAUUGAAGAGGAUGCCUACCAAUUGCUCAUCAAGAAUAUUUGCCUUUUUAUAGAGCAGAGGUUCAAAGUAGCCCCUGUCAUUCCCUAACUAUGAGGAUAGAUACAUCCAUAUAUGAAGGGCCAAGGCAGAAGACAGAGAAGAUGUCAGGGGCUGCAUGUCUGAGACUAACUCUGUCUUUAAGGGAACAGCUCUCCUUGGUCAUUGGCCCCUAUGCUGCUAGCUAGCUCUCCAUGCCAAGAGCUUCUGAUGGAUUACAAGAUGAGAUAUUUAAAGGUAUUGUAAGUAUUCCUACUUGUAUAACAUGAACCACUGAAUUGCCCCUCAUUUUAACAGCAACAAGAUUCAGGGUUACUAUAGCCUUACUCCUCAUCCCAUUGUAAAUAUAUCAUGACAUCACGAGAGCCUCUGUGUUCAAAUUCACUAAACCAGGUUUACACGUCCUAGAUCUGUGUAUCAAUCCCCAAAUUGGAAAAACAAUUUUUUGAGAAUGAUCUUCAGAAUAAUGGAAAUGAAAAAAAAACAGUGGACAGUUGAGCAGUUUUUCACCACCCAUAAAACCACUAGAGUGCUGAUAGCCCUAAAGCUACAAUUUUUUUUUCUCAUGACUAAGUUUUUUUUCACUUAGGGGCUUUCAACAUUUGAAUUUUCCAGAUGAUUACUGAACCAUCUUCACUAAACUGAAGUAGACACUAUGGCAUUGUUAAAAAAUAAAGACUGUCCACAUGAAUGCAAAUAUCCCAAUGAAAAAUGAAAUAGGUCACUCAAGCAGUAAAUUUGGUCUUUGUGAUAUCAAACAUUUGAAUACUUGGGAAAAUCCAGGUGUUUGAAUGAUACAGUUUUUCAUCUGGUUAUCUGGUGUUGUCUAGAUAGACAGAAAAUGCUCAGGUGUUGUAGGUAAUGAGAUUUAACUUUUUCGUGCAGAAAUCUAUUGCUGGUGAUAUUCUGCUGCUAAAAAUCUCUUUGCUAUGCAAAGAGGAAUAAAUAAUGCAGAGCAAAUACUAUUUGAUUUUUAUUUACUUUUGGCAAACACAUGAAUGGAAGAGGCUUGGGAGAUUGUCCCGGGGUUAUUCAGAUGUGAUUGUGGCACAGACCUCCUUCAGAAAGACCGUUCUGGAGGCCUGCCACUCGGCUCCUUCCUGCCAAGGAAACUUUUAUUCAGCUCCUUUCCAUCCUUUCUAAUAAUCCUAUAAUUGUCCCCCUGCUCUUCGCAUAAUCUUCGUUGUUCCCCAAGUCUACUUGACAGAAUUGUUUAAGAGAAACCCAAGUUUAACCUUUUUAUUCUUCAAAUAGGAAGUUCUUUCAUUUUAAGGAUUAUGUCUUUUAAGCAGAAAAAUAAUGUAAACAACUCAAUGCAGUUAUUUUAUGGUGCAUGUUGUGGUGUCACAGAAGUAAAGGCUAUUUUUCCCAAAUUAAACAAAAUACACCUUUUUUGUUUGUUCGUUUUGUUUGUUGAUGUCAUUCUGUUGCCAAGGACUCACUGGUUAUACAUAUUGGAAUCUUAGUGUUUCCUUUGUAGUCACAGAAAAGAGAAAAAGAAAAAAUCUCAUCAAAGGGAAGUUCACUUUCCAGAAGGAAGUUUGAGAUAGUCACGCGACUCUUGUAUCUGUGAUUAUCUGUGGACAUUUUCUUCCCUGAUUGGGCUCUGGAUUAGUGAGUGUGUGUAUUUCCUCAAAUCGUGUGCUUGCCUCAUUUACUGUUCUGAAGCUGGACAGAAACACGGGCAAGCUAUUCGGACCGAUUUUCUUUUCCGUGAGCUUAUGUUGCAGAACUUGCUCUGAGACAUGAACUAUAGUUCCUUCACACAGAAGGUAGGCAGCUAUGUGAAGUCAUGAGAGGAUUUCCAGAGAAAAUCUAGAUAUUUGUUUUGUACAUUCCUUGGUAGUGUUUUGAUUGUGUUAAAUUCUACAUUUCAGUGCCAAUUUAGAACGAUUUCAUGGGGUAAACAGUCCCUGUCCUUGUUGGCUCCCUCCUCCCCUUAGUUGCAGAGGUUUCCCCGAAACCAAAACGCAUGUUCCACCUUGUUUAGCAAGGGCUUCCAGCCACCAGGUGUCAUUGCUCUGUGCUAAUUGUGUUUUCUCAAUGCUCCUUUGGAUGGUUUGCUAGUCCCACCCCUGGGGAAGCCUUCCGGGUCAAAAGAGCUGCUACUUCCUGUCACAAAUGUUCAUACCAAACUGAUUUGGCUCCGCUUUCAUUUUCCCUUGAGAUUUUUACUUCACUCAAUCCUUUUCCAAAUCUUUGUACCUUCAUGUUAUGACAGGAUAUUUAGUUCAAUGUUUCAGUCAGCUGGCAACAAAGAAGCAACAAUCAAUUGGUAACUGCAAAAAACAUUAAGCAUUUUGUUUCAGUUAUCUUUUAUCAUGUAAUAAUUGAAUGGAAUUUAUGGUUUAUGGAAAACGAAAAAUCCCCCUGUUGAAUAUAAUAACCAUUUUGAAUACACUGAAAUAUAUUCUCUGAAAGAGUAUCCUUUUACACUAUGACGUCUAUUCCUUUCUGGAGACAAGAACAUGGAGGGGCCCUGGUUCUGUGGUGGAAACACAGGGGCCUGGAAGCUGAGCCCCUUGAGUCCUUAUUCCUGGUUCGUCACUUCAGCCUCAGAAACUCAUCUUCGGCCUCUUUUGUCCCAUAUGUAAAAGAGAGAUAAUCUUUAUCUACCUACCUCAUAGUGGUGUUGUGAAGAUGAAUUAAGUUUAUAAAGUGCUUUGACGCUUGAUAACUAGCGUUAACACAAAGGAGGCCUGUGUGCAGCCCUGAAUAGGCUGCAGCAGGGGAGGUGGAGACAACCUAACAACACGACAGCAAUAAGUCACCAAGCAGAGAGUAUGAUUAUUUGUGGUCACUUCACAGAAGUGAAACUUUUUCUUCAAAGGUCUAUGUAGAACUUUUUUUUUAAUUGUCAGCUUUUUAAUGAGAAAAAUUAACUCCUUUCAUACAAACACUGAGAAGCUUCAUAUAGGAUGACAAUUUUCCUCUUAGCCAAACUGAAAUUUACUAAGUAUUUAUUAAAUACAUCCAGAAGACUGGGCUUCUUCUGAUACCUAAAGAGUUCCCAUGCCUGAUCCCAAACUGCAUUUUCCAGAAUGCCUGCACUGAUACCUGAGCUCAGAACUAAUGAUUGCUAAAGGGUGUUCUGGAAUCUGCUACCAGGAGGGAACAUUUUUAAUAGAUAUUACUGAGAUUAGAUUUUGUUGUUUACGGUGAGAUUCUUUUUCAUCCCUAAGAUGAUGCAUCUCUCCCUUUGCAACCCAAUAAAAGAAUGUAAAGCCUUAUUUCUUCCUGGAACUUCUGAGUUGGUUUAUUUUCAGAUUAUAAAUAAAUUUUAAAUUUUUCAGAGAAGUGUUUACACAAGGGCUUCUAUAUAGUGAUAUACAAGUAUACUAACAUGUGCAUAGAUCUGAGUGUACGUGCAUGUCCUGAGUAUAGGACAAAGGAGAUGGUGGGAAAACAACCAUAGGGAACAUCCCAUACAACUUCCCCCAAAAGUAAAUGCUUUUUCUUACUUAAAUAUUUAGUCCAGAUAAGAAUUAGUGCUCAAUAACAUGAUUGGGGGUUAUAAAUAUCAUUUCUGAGUCAUAGAGGCAAUAUUGAAAAGUAGGAAUAAAUACAACCAUGGAACUAUACUAACAAUUCAGGUAAUGUUUUAAAGAUGUGACUUCAUGGGAAAAAAUUAUGUACAUAAAUAUUGUCAUUGUUCCCUUAGUUAAUAAUUAUAUUCCUUUGCAAAAAAAAUGCAUGCUCUUAAAAAUAUGAAAUAAGGUUUCAGAAAGUUUAUCUUGUUAAGUGGGUUUAAAAUCAUGUUGUGCCUGGAGCUAACAUAAUGUACACAUUCAAUAUAAUCUCUUCUGGAUUCUAAAAUCUAGUUGCCAGUGGUAUAACUUAAAAUUUCAGAUUGGUGAAAUAUUUCUAAUGCAUGGUAUUAAACUUUCUGAAGCAUGAAUUUAACCUAGGCAAUUAUCUGAUCCAUUAAAAAAUGUUUAUGUUGCCACACCAGACUCAAGAUAAAUACCAUUUUUUAGACUCAGAAUAUGAGAAUAGUGAGUCAAAAUAAUUUGGAUUUCUCUGACCUUUUUUCCCAGUCCCAAGCAUCGAUAUAUUUCAAACCAAAAGUGCAGCAGAAUAUCCUUGUUUCUAAGGGAAAUAUCCGUGUUUCUCUUUUACUUUUGUGCAAGAAAACUGAAGUUAACUGCACUAGAUUCAGGGGUGUGCAAAUAAGAAAAGGUGUGGCAGCCUUUUAGGGGGGUUGGCCAGGGGCAGUGGGGAGAACUCAUCAUUGGGAGGCUUUACAACAAAGGUACAAAACAGAAUCUAAAAGUAGUAGAGCUGGACAAUUCUUUGAAAUGAUAGAAAUGAAAUUCUUCCCCAAAGAGAUGAAAAAAACAGGUGGAGACAUGUUAUUAGACAGAAGCUAUACAUCUAAUUACUGGGAAAAAGGAAAUUUGAACCUGCUAUACCUUACCCUUAAGUCUUUCCAGCCCACAUGAAACUCCAGAGUCUUCCCUGACAGUAGUAGACUUUUUUAGAAAGCUAAUUUUUAGGAAAGGUACAUGCGACUAUACUGCCAUGGAACAGUCAUUGUGUAAUCAUCAUGUAUGUGAUGCUUCAUAAAUGUAGUUGUCAACUUUUAUGGUUACUUCCAGUUAAUUCUAUCCCAUAAAUAUGUGGCAUAAAACACAUGGAAAGUUCUCUUUUGCUCCAGAGGAAUGCGUGACAACUUAUUUAUAUCCACUCUUAUCCCUGGCAUAUUAUUAUUACCAAAGUCUUUUCAUAUCUAGAUGGUAUGAGAUAGUUAAAAAAUGAAGUUUUCAGCAAAUUGUCUAUUGAAGAUCUCACCUGAAGCUUCUCUUUAGUGAAGAUGGCAGGAGGAGAGGGAACUUGGGUGAGAAGAUUUCCUCUAUUAAGUUGUCUCUGCUUUUCUUCUCAGUUACCAGACAGCUCAGUAGCCUGGAGAGCAAGAUGGUGUAAGACAUGCAAAUUAGGUUUUUCCCAUUCUCAGAGCAAGGAGGGCAACCAAUGAGCCAGAGGUUACCACACCUUUGAAACCAAAUCGUACAUUGACAUUAGGGCUAAGACAAAAAUACAAAACAAAACAAACAUUGUAAAACAUGAGCAACAUCAUCCUUCCUAUUGGUUCUUUAUUUGAUUUUACUGAAUUCUUUUUAUAGUUUAGAUCAGAAGUUUCUAGUAAUGAUAAGUAAUGUCAUUUUAUGUUAUAGCUUCAAUGCAGAAAUGGUGAAAACAUGAGUCACAAACAAAAUUACCAGGGAUACAGACUUUGUCUGUACUGACACCUUACCUAGCAAAUUGGAAACAAAUACUACUUAAUGUUCUGGUUUCAUUAAUAACAUCUAGAAAAAAAAAAGAACAGGAGCAUUUUGCUCAGCAUUAAACCAUUGCACAAUAUAAACCUGCUUCCAAAUGGCAAGGAUUUCUGCUACUGACAUUUGUUCUUCAUUCUGCAGUUAUUUUAAGUAAAUAAUUUUCACAUCUAACUACCUCAGCUACUGUUCUUUUAUUUAGAAACAUGAAAUCAUGCACUUUGUAACCAACAAGUUUUUCAUUUAAAAUUUCAAAAAGAUACUUGGUGCAAAGCAAUUUUCAAAAAUUUGUAUAUGACAUAAGAAACCCAACCUCAGGAGGUUGUUCUUAAUUUUGUUUAUUUGUUUCUAAGUUUGAUUGGGGUAAAACCUCGUUUCCACUUAACAUGAAGAGAAGCUGCUCUAUAUUGCUUAAUUUGCCUUAAACAUUUUGUGCUCCUCUCCCUGUUCGAUUUUUUUUGUUUGUUCUAAAUCUAUCUCUGAAAAGAUAAUGUAACAGGUGGCAGAUGAACAUCAAACAAGACAAUGAACCAAUCAUUUCUCAGUUCCCUGUUGUCAACUCUGCAUGACAUUCUGAUUGUGCGAAAUUGCCAUUCCUGUGCUUCUCUCUCCCAUGACCAUUCCAGAAAUAAGGUCUGAGAGACCCCAUAUGUGUGUUUAGGGAACGGUGUAGACAUUUCCCCCAGUACGAGCACAGUGCCUGGACCUGAAUGAUUACCUUGGCAGUUCUUGUGCUUUUACUUUGUAAACAUUGUACAAAUGUAUUUGGAAUUUUAUUUGAAAUGAAGAAUUAAACUAGUUAUUAAAUUUUUUUCCUUCCUGUAAAUAUAUAUUCAAACUCCAUGUAUCCAAACAUUCCUUUAGCGUUCGGAUUGUAAGAGUGUCUUUAUUGGCUGGAGGCCGCCGUCUCAGGCCAUGGUCCCAUGUGCUCUAGUUGAAAGCACAGUGUGUGGAGUAUUUGAUGUACUAUAAUACCAUAGUUAUUUUGGUCUGUUAAGUAAGUUGCAAUUUGUGAUGAAAUGAAGUGGAAAGUAGUGCUUCAUAAUGAGCAAAUUUCCUUGGUUACAUGAUUUUUUCUUGUAAAACUUUAAAAAAAAGAAAACUUGAAAUUUUAUAUAUUUGGAUUUUGUAGAUUUUUUUUUAUUUUAUUGCAACACAAGGUACCAAAAUCAUUAAAUAAAGUACA